AUCACUUCUUGGUACUUUGGCUAAGAUCAGGUAUAGUAUCUGUUAUCAGUUUACUAUCCGAUACGCCCACUCUCUGGAGCCCAUUUAUUGAAUGGAAUUUUAAAAUAGGGAGAUAGAAGAAAAACUAUCUGUCCACUCCACGCAUUGACCUGGUAGUGCAGUACUCCCAAGACUGGUACACAACAU